AUGGGGUGCAGNNNNNGAGAAAACUUUGCAAUGUGCGAAAGCACGACAAGGUUAAUCCGAGUGAUUUCUGCUAAAGGAAUCUUUUGUCNNUCCUAGAAACACUGUUGAAUAAGGGGUGGGCAAGUUCUGGUGUCAGCCGCCGCGGUAAAACCAGCACCUCAAGUGGUCAGGAUGAUUAUUGGGCCUAAAGCAUCCGUAGCCUGCUUUAUCAGUUUUCGGUUAAAUCCACACGCUCAACGUGUGGGCUGCCGGGAAUACUGUAAAGCUAGGGAGUGGGAGAGGUAGACGGUACUCGGGAGGAAAGGGUAAAAUCCUUUGAUCUCUCGAUGACCACCUGUGGCGAAGGCGGUCUACCAGAACACGUCCGACGGUGAGGGNNNAAAGCUGGGGGAGCAAACCGGAUUAGAUACCCGGGUAGUCCCAGCUGUAAACUAUGCAAACUCAGUGAUGCAUUGGCUUGAUGCCAAUGCAGUGUUGCAGGGAAGCCGUUAAGUUUGCCGCCUGGGAAGUACGUACGCAAGUAUGAAACUUAAAGGAAUUGGCGGGGGAGCAC
rnacentral:rRNA from 1 species